AAUCUCAUGGCUCAAAUGGUUAGAGCACCGGUCUUUUAAAUCGGGGGGUGAAAGUUCGAAUCUUUCUGGGAUUACCA
rnacentral:tRNA from 1 species